UACAGAGAGUGCAAGCGUUAAUCGGAAUUACUGGGCGUAAAGCGCACGUAGGUGGAAUCUUAAGUCAGAUGUGAAAUCCCCGGGCUUAACUUGGGAAUUGCAUUUGAUACUGGGUUUCUAGAAUAUGGUAGAGGGAAGUGGAAUUUCCGGUGUAGCGGUGAAAUGCGUAGAUAUUGGAAAGAACACCAGUGGCGAAAGCGGCUUCCUGGACCAAUAUUGACACUUAGGUGCGAAAGCGUGGGGAGCAAACAGG
rnacentral:rRNA from 1 species